rnacentral:snRNA from 1 species
UGUCUUUUAAAAAUAAUAACAAUGAAUUGAAAUGAUACAGAGAUUAGCAUGGCCCCUGUGCAAAGAUAACACACAAAUUCAUGAAGAAGUCCAUAUUUUU